ensembl:lncRNA
GAAACAUCCCAUAAUGAAUAUUUUAACUCAAUUCUUGGAAAUUUAUUUUUCAUAUUUUUCAUUUGCUCACUGUCCCCCAGGAACCCUGUUGUUGCCUUUAACCAUGUUUCCUCAGCGUACAAGUGUAAAAUCCCUUUCAUCCAUUACCAUGGGAACAACCAACGAACUUUCAGCACAACACAGAGACAGAUAGAAACCAGAGAUGCCUGAGUCUGCAGACAUUCCUGCUCAGUGCCAAGUCCUCAAAGAAGACGUGGACAAAUGUGUCCAAGGGAAGGGUGCCGAGGCCUGUAAGGAGCUGAUGGAAGCUUUCGAGGCCUGUGUGAAAAGCGCUGUGCAAACUUCAUGAGCAGAAAGCUUCAGGUUCAUAUCUAAGGUUCUCCUUCUUCGGGUCCUUCAGUACACCUGCAUUCCUACUGUUUUUUGGGUUUGACUGAACCAUUACAUCGACUGGCCAGGGGUGUCGGUACUGCUGAAUUCCUGGAUUUGCCAUGUCUGGAUCAGAGAUGCUGCUGAUAUUAUUGUCAUAUGUCCAACGCAAAUGUAGCAUCAAGAGCCCACAGGAUUUAGAUCCAUUAUGUCAGAAGAAGUAUUUCUUUAUCUAAGAAAAAUGCAGUCAAUAUAAAUUAUUUUUGAAUAAAAUAUACUUUAAUUAUUG